rnacentral:rRNA from 1 species
AAAAUUGUGCAGUUAUUAUGUCAGAGUAGUAUUAGUUAAGGUCUUGAAACUCAAAAAAUUUGGCGGUAUUUUAGUCUAUUUAGAGGAACCUGUAGUAUAAUCGAUAAUCCACGAUGGACCUCGCUUAAUUUUGUUUUCAGUUUGUAUACCGCUGUUAUUUGAAGAUUUUAUAAGAAUAUUAAUUUUCAGAAUUUUUAAUUAAAAAAUAUAUCAGGUCAAGGUGCAGCUUAUAAUUAAGAAUUUAUGGGUUACAAUAAAUUUAUUUAUACGGAUAAAAAUGUGAAAUUAUUUUUUGAAGGUGGAUUUAAUAGUAAAUUUUUAAAGAUAAAGGAAUUGAUU